rnacentral:lncRNA from 1 species
GCACCAUAGACAACAAGGUGGCAUUUGGUGUUGUUAUUCCAUCCGAAGAUGGUUUGUGUAAUAAGAUACAUGGGAGGGAUAUGCCAAUUGGUUGUCUUCGAGUUUCUGUUGAUGGACUGCUCCCCGAUAGUAACAAAGAUGCAUUGCUUCCCGUGCCGGUGCCGGGUGAAAUGGAGUUGGUGACUGAAUAUGUUGGCUCUCACGUAGCAUGGCCAGAAAAUCUAAUCACUUUUCCAUCGGUUGUGGUCUCCAAUUAUCUAAUAUUAUUUUUUUAGAGUGUGUAAAGAGUGAUAAUGAACAUUUACAUGCGUUGACCGUUUUGUGGUUGAUUAUUUUUGUGCAGGGUGAAGAAAAAGAAUUGUGCCGGCCACAACCAUAGAAAGAUGAGUUGAAGGCAUUGCAGAUAAAGUUUACCGAAGCAGCGCCACCUGAAAAUGUGCCAAAGAGGUGGAGAUUAUUAUAUAAGCAUGCGAUGACCAUAAUGAAGGAAACUGGAGUCUCUGUCAAAAUUCCUUGUGAUAGGCAAGUUUUUGGAUGUGAUAAGAAAAUAUGUUUGCUGCAAGAGGAGUUGUUGGCAUUGUUGCAGUUUAAUAUGGUGGGCCAAUCUGCUAUAUCAGCCUAUAUGAUGUUAGUAUUUUUUCCUCUUUUCCUUAUUCGCAUAUAUAUGUUUGUGUAUAUCUAAAUAUAUUCUAGUUUAAUAUGUACAUUUUAUAAAAUAUAUAGGAACUUGUAUAAUGAGCUAUGUGAGGCCAAGGAACUGGACACAUUUGGUUUUUUCAAUCCGGG